rnacentral:rRNA from 1 species
GCGUCGUUUGCGACGCCCAACACACAAAACAAGCGGUGAGUGCUGUGGGGUGGGGUGACUGCGUACCUUUUGUAUAAUGGGUCAGCGACUUAUAUUCUGUAGCAAGGUUAACCGUAUAGGGGAGCCGUAGGGAAACCGAGUCUUAACCGGGCGUUAAGUUGCAGGGUAUAGACCCGAAACCCGGUGAUCUAGCCAUGGGCAGGUUGAAGGUUGGGUAACACUAACUGGAGGACCGAACCGACUAAUGUUGAAAAA